rnacentral:rRNA from 1 species
GGGGGCGCAUCAAGUCUGCUGUUAAAGGUCGGAGCUANACUCCGUUAGAGCAGUGGAAACUGGUGCGCUAGAGGGCGACAGGGGUAGAGGGAAUUCCCAGUGUAGCGGUGAAAUGCGUAGAGAUUGGGAAGAACACCGGUGGCGAAAGCGCUCUACUGGGUCGCACCUGACCCUCAGGGACGAAAGCUAAGGUAGCGAAAGGGAUUAGAUACCCCUGUAGUCUUAGCCGUAAACGAUGGAUACUAGGCGUGGUUUGUAUCGACCCAAGCCGUGCCGAAGCUAACGCGUUAAGUAUCCCGCCUGGGGAGUACGCACGCAAGUGUGAAACUCAAAGGAAUUGACGGGGGCCCGCACAAGCGGUGGAGGAUGUGGUUUAAUUCGAUGCAACGCGAAGAACCUUACCAGGGCUUGACAUCCCGCGAAGUUUGGGGAAACUCAGACGUGCCUACGGGAACGCGGAGACAGGUGGUGCAUGGCUGUCGUCAGCUCGUGUCGUGAGAUGUUGGGUUAAGUCCCGCAACGAGCGCAACCCUCGUCCUUAGUUGCCAGCAUUAAGUUGGGCACUCUAGGGAGACUGCCGGUGACAAACCGGAGGAAGGUGAGGAUGACGUCAAGUCAGCAUGCCCCUUAUGCUCUGGGCAACACACGUCCUACAAUGGUCGGGACAAAGGGGAGCGAGCUCGCGAGAGUAAGCGAAUCCCAGCAAACUCGGCCUCAGUUCAGAUAGCAGGCUGCAACUCGCCUGCUUGAAGGAGGAAUCGCUAGUAAUCGCAGGUCAGCAUACUGCGGUGAAUUCGUUCCCGGGCCUUGUACACACCGCCCGUCACACCAUGGAAGCUGGCCAAGCCCGAAGUCGUUACCCUAACCCUACG